rnacentral:misc_RNA from 1 species
CAAAAUUUAACCAUCCAAAUGGAAGAACAAAGAGAGUCAUGCUCUCUCUCCUCUUUUCAUCACCUACAACUGCUCUCCUCUGUUCUCUCUCCAGAAGACUCUCCAUCAAAACCACCUUAACAAGAACUCUUCCAUUUUUCACUGCCACAACCACCACCAUGUCCAUUAACCUUCAAUCCCAUGCCUUUGCUGGCAACCCUCUAAGAUCCAAAACCCUCAAACCUACUGAUCCUUUAUCACCUUCCUUAGCCCUUCAAACCCUCAAGGCUCAACUUUUGGACAAUUCCCACCAAUUAUCUUCCAUUAAUUUCAAGGUUUUACCCUUUAGAAAAGGUAAGCCCCUUGCCUCUUCCAGUAGUGAUGGUGAUUUUGUGCCAAAUUGGCGCCUUGGUUGGAUCAGUUUGGCUGAUUGUAAAAGUUUGCUCGCUAGUUCUGGGGUUGAAUUGAGUGGAGAGAAUUUGGUUUAUCUUGGUUCAAGGUCUGAGGAGGAUGUGGUUUAUUGGGCUGUUGAUGUUUCUACUGAGGACAAUUUGAUCAAUGGAUUCGGUAGCAAGCAAUUUUGCUUUGUUGAGCUGAGGACGCUUAUGGUGGCUACCGAUUGGGCUGAUGAGCUGGCCAUGGGGGAUUUGGCUAUUGCUGGCCAUGCCAGGGCAUUGCUAGAAUGGCAUAACUUAGCACGUUUUUGUGGACACUGUGGAUCAAAAGCAGUCCCUAUGGAAGCUGGGAGACGGAAGCAGUGCUCUAAUGAGCUGUGCAGAAAGAGGAUUUACCCUCGUGUUGAUCCGGUAGAGUGUUGUUUAUGCCUCUUUGCUGUAGCUGUAGUUUGAAAUUCUUAGAUGGUUGCUGCCUUAAUUCCCCCAUUGAUUUCUUAACCCCAUGUUUUGUUUUGACAAGGUGGUGAUCAUGUUGGUUAUUGAUAAAGAAAAUGACCGUGUCCUUCUAAGCAGACAGUCAAGAUUUGUACCCCGAAUGUGGAGUUGCUUAGCUGGUUUCAUAGAGGUAUGAGUCUAGGCCACCUUCAAUUUUUGUCUAAUGUUUGAAGCAUUCCUUUAAUAUAAAGCAGCGAAAGUGGUGCUCAUAACUACCCAAUAUAGCUGUGUGAUUCUAUCACUAGAGAUAAGUUACCCGUUAUUUUAUUAUCUCUCUUCUCUCUCUCAAUUAUUUUCGUUUUUAGAAUAUUUCUAUUGCCUUUAGCCAGGAGAAAGCUUAGAAGAGGCAAUUAGGAGAGAAACAUGGGAGGAGACUGGUAUUGAAGUGGGAGAAGUUGUCUAUCAUAGUUCCCAGCCAUGGCCAGGUAUCAUUAUAUAUCCAUAUCUCGUGUGAUUGUUUUAUGACCAUUUGUUUGCAUGCUUAAUUCUGAUUGUAGCAGUAGUUUAAAGAAUAAUAGAAAAUUAGCUUUCCGUGAUUCACUAAAAUAAACUUGUCUUUGCCAGCCCUAUAUUAAGUAGUGGCUGUUUCCAUGGAUAAUCUUGUGUUUUUCCACUGAUUUCUCACUUAUUCUUUCACAAACAGCAAUCAUGUUCUUUUUGUGUUCUUGCAUGUCCUUGAAAUACAGUUAUUUGCACCAUGGCAUUAUUUACCCAUGUAAUGUUGAUUUUCAAUGCAUUUGUUCCAUUUCAUAUAAACUUUCUGCCUUUUGCACCCAACUGUUUUUUAUUUGUUUCGCACAAAUUUAGUCAUUUAUCAUACUGUUGCUAGUUGUCUUGUUACUUUCUGUCUCAAGUUUAUUAUUGUAUCCACUAUUUACCUUAGAGAUAGUUGAUCAUUUUUCUUCCUUUUUCUCUCAUGCGGUGGAGGGAAGGAGUUAUUGUUUUGCAGGUGAAUAAUGUUUCUGCAUUUUCAUGACUGAAUAUAUUGUAUUUAUGCAAAUAUCUAUAAUGCAUGUGACUAGUCAAUUUUUAUAUGUUUAUAUAAUAUGCUGCUAAUUGUUGUACUCUCUAUUUGGUUUCUUUGUAGUUGGCCCAAAUAGCAUGCCAUGCCAGCUCAUGGUGGGUUUCUUUGCCUAUGCAAAAUCACUUGAAAUAAAUGUAGACAAGGAAGAGUUGGAAGAUGCUACAUGGCACAGCAGAGAAGACGUCCAAAAAGCAUUGAUGGUUGCAGAAUAUGAGAAGGCGCAAAGAACAGCAGCUGCCAAGGUUAAUCAGAUGUGCAAGGGCGUCGAGAAAGGACAGAAUUUCUCAGCAGAUUUUAAUUUAGAAAGUGGGGAGCUUGCUCCAAUGUUUUUCCCUGGCCCCUUUGCAAUUGCUCACCACUUAAUCUCUUCUUGGGUUAAUCAAUCUUCAACAAUUGGAGCUGGAGUUCAAUCAAAGCAACCAAGUAAUUCUCUGUCUAAUUUGUAGCAAUCAUGCUUUGCUCUCCAAGAUAUAUUCAAGCUUGAACAUUACUCUCUUUUUGUUUUGUAAAUUCAGUCACUCCCACGUUGUGAUAAAGUCCUUAAUGGUUUGAAAUUCAAAACAAGGGAGAGUGGCAACAUUUUUUUUGGCCUUGGGAGUAUAUCUGUUGUGUAACCGAUUAAAAUUAUUUAUAAACCAUUCAAAGAUUAUGUGAAUGAAUUCAUAUCCAUAUGAAUUGUUUUACUAUUUGGG